GCCCUCUUGCUGGGUGCCUGGGUUCCUGCCCAUGGAUCUUCGUCGUCACGCUGAUGGCGGCCGGUCGCUGACGAAGGAAAUGGAACCCAAUGAAGGGAUCCUGAAAGUCCAUGGUACACACAUGUCAGCAACAUUUCUUUGGAAAAAUCACAUAAAAAGGGUCCCAAGAUGUAGUCCACCGAGACAGUAGAAUUGUUCUUAUCUGAUAGGUAAACUACAUAAUCAUUACAUCAGUAGUUGUUUUAGACCUAUCUCAACUAUUGCCAUUGAAAUGUCUAAACAAUGGCAUAGCAUUGUUAUUACCAGUUUUUUAAAGAGAUUCACAUGCAGUAUUAUUUGGGAUAACGCCGAGGAUGCAAUACUACUUACUAGCCAGAGUAUAGUUUAAUUACUGUUACUAGCUAAUUUGGCCAAUCAUACAAUUAUAGUCAGUUCUGCCAGACAAUCCUCAAACAUUUAUAUAGGAGAGCACAUAUACUCCUAUCUGAAAGUUUUGUUACCAAUGAACCUAAGACUCCUUGAGCUGAAUUGCUUUCUUCUGAAGUAAUGGAGACAUAUACAGUUGUAGAUUUGGUCACUUUUUUUCUUUGCUGAUUGAUUAUUUAUAUUUGACAUGCUUAUUCCGCAUGGGGUUAGUCAGACCAUCUCUAAGAUUGCAGGGGAGCUAAUACAACGACCUUAUGCAGAAUAUAGGACACAAUCAAGCUCUUUAGCUAAUCUUGCUUGGCUGUAUGGAUUAAUUUCAUGUGGUAAAUUAACUAUUCUGAAAAUGAAAGCUGCAGACCUUGUCAUCAGCAAAAAAAAGGUGUUUUGUGAAUGGAAGCAGUGGGUUGAAGUUUAUCUGGAGCAGGGCAUUGUGGCACACCGUGCAUUGUCCUAUUCAUCAUUUCAGAGGGUGCCAUCUUGAUGUCUGCAUUCACCCACACCGCCUACUUUAUCUUAGAUCUCCAAUGAAUUGGUAUACUCCAUAUAUUACUGAUGUCCAUAGUUUGGCCAAUUUUGAAAAAUGUUAAGCUGCACUCCUGUAAUCUAGCGUUUUCCUAUAUUAUAUCGGUAAUAUAUGUGAACAUGUUUAAUAGUUGGGCAAAAAGUUUCAGUUGAUUGUAACUGCUUCAUCGUAGAAAUAAACAUGCAUAUAUAUGCUACUUCAA